rnacentral:misc_RNA from 2 species
AACGCACAUUGCGCCCCCUGGUAUUCCGGGGGGCAUGCCUGUCCGAGCGUCAUUGCUGCCCUCAAGCACGGCUUGUGUGUUGGGCUCUCGCCCCCCGCUUCCGGGGGGCGGGCCCGAAAGGCAGCGGCGGCACCGCGUCCGGUCCUCGAGCGUAUGGGGCUUCGUCACCCGCUCUGUAGGCCCGGCCGGCGCCCGCCGGCGAACACCAUCAAUCUUAACCAGGUUGACCUCGGAUCAGGUAGGGAUACCCGCUGAACUUAA